UCUACUAGUUUCUACGACAUGGCCCUAUAUCGGCCAUGGAAAAUGGGUUACCGAUGUGUUAUGAUCUUAAAACGGUAGCAAAACGUUCAAAGAAAGUAUUAAGGGUAUUAACUUCUCUAAUACUUAAGUUACUUAUUAUUUUGUUAAUGACACAAAUUUUUGUUGAACGAACAUUUGCUGCAUACCGAGGUUCAUGUGAAAGUGAAAAAAAUGAGUGUUUACAUGGAAUUUGUCGGAAUGGAGAAUGUGUUUGUGACAGGGGCUGGAAAGGGGAGUCGUGUCAUUUAUGUGGUGGACGUAAUAUGUUGAUGUCAUCUUCUGGAAUCAUCAGUGAUGGUGCUGGUAAUUACAGCCUUGAUACUCAGUGUGCUUGGUUAAUAGAUAGUGGGGAGAGAAAUGCAACAAUUCACCUGGAGUUAGUUAAUUUUGAAACACAGUGUAGCAGGGACCAUUUGUACAUCUUUGAUGGAGACUCCAUUUUCUCUCCACUUGUGGCUGCAUUCAGUGGUCAUUACAGAAUAGGAGAAAAUCCAUUACACCAGCAAGAAGUUAUGACACAUUCGGGUUCAGCCUUUCUGUUCUUUUUUAGUGACAGUUCGUAUAACAUGAGUGGUUUUACUCUCUUUUACAGAAUAAAUGGGUGUCCGCUGAAUUGCUCGGAGCAUGGAGUAUGCGUAGAUAAUCAGUGUACCUGCUGGGCAGGUUGGGCUGGAAAAGAUUGCAGUUACCCAGUAUGUCCAGGAAACUGUAACCAUGGCACUUGUGACCGUGAGAACCACCACUGUAUAUGUGACUCUGAAUUUAGAGGUCCUGAUUGCAGUAUGUCAACAUCUGAAGGGGGAUGGGAGGUAGUAACUGGAGAAGGAACAGUAGUUCCAAGGGCCCUACAUCAGUCAUUAAUAUAUGAAGAUGUAUUGUGGGUGUUUGGGGGUGAAAGUUUUAAUCGAGAAGUCUUCCUGAAUGUUGCCAAAUUCAACUUCUCCAGUAAAUCAUGGGAAAACAUUGACUAUGUUGGGACUGAAAUUUCUCGCUGCUUACAUGGCCACUCUGUGGUAAUCUAUAAAGACCACAUGUAUGUGUUUGGAGGAAAGGAGAAGAACAGUGUUGUCGUGAAAGACUUUUGGUCAUUUGAUUUUUUGAACUGGUCAUGGAAAGAAGUGCUAGACUAUAAUGCAGAAAAAGAUUGUCUCACAGACCUCUGCAGUCCUGUAGCAGUUGUAGGUCACACAGCUAAUAUGGUGGGAGACAGGAUGAUUGUCAUAUUUGGGUAUAAUCCUGUAUUUGGCCACCUUAAUAUUGUACAAGAGUUCAGUUUUUUGUGGAACAGUUGGAAAACAGUGCAAACAAAUGGAGCCAUUGUGAAAGGUGGAUACGGACACACCAGUGUUUAUGAUGAGGCUACUCAGUUUAUUUAUGUACAUGGAGGAUAUCAUUCCCAAGGUGAAUGGGGUGAAGUAGUUGAUGUGUUAUAUGCUUACCAUCCCUUCCACCAGUCUUGGACAAUUCUGUCUCCUAGUGGAUCUUAUCGUUACCUUCAUAGUGCAGCUGUUCUUCAGGGCAUGCUUCUUAUUUAUGGUGGGAGCACCCAUAAUGACUCAGUUUUCAAUGCUGGAGACAAGUGCUAUUCUGCAGACUUUUUAGCUUAUGAUAUUGGCUGUGAUACUUGGCAUAUUUUGAAGUCACAGGCUGCAUUUGUUCCAGACCUUGAACGUUUUGGUCACACUGCAGUAACAUAUGAUGGGUCUAUGUAUGUUUUUGGUGGUUUUAAUGGUCAACUGAUGUCCAGUUUGCUCAAGUUCACCCCAGGAAGCUGUGAGAUUAAUGAAUCUUCUGAAGGUUGUGAAAUGUCACUUCCUGGACGAAAGUGUUGGUGGAAUUUUAACAAAAAAACUUGUGAACCAGUGUUUCAUACCUUAACAUAUAAAUCAUCCCAUCUCUCCUGCCAUAGAAGGAAUAUUAAUUUCACUUCCCUUUGUGAGAAGUUGACAUCCUGCCCCAGUUGUCUUGCCAACACGUAUGGUUGUGUAUGGUGUGGUUCUCUGUGCUCCUAUAAACGAUGUCCAAAGUCACAGAAAAAAACCAUUAGUUUAGAAGCAUGUGAAGAUACUGAAAGCAGCAACUGUGAUAAGCUCCAUGUGUGCCAUGCUUGCCACACUGAAUACCAUUGUGGGUGGGAAGCUAAGAGAAGGAGUUGUACAUUUGUUAGAGAAAUAAGUAACAAAACAGAGAAAGCAUUUAUGUCGAAUGACUUAAGAGUCACCUGUGAACCACCCUGUAGUAAUAGAUCAACAUGUGAAUAUUGUAUUGAAGGUAAUUGUGUUUGGUGCAGCAAUCAGAAGCAAUGUCUGGAAAAAAAUGCCUUAACAGCAAUGUUUCCUAUUGCCCAGUGCAUGGAAGUAGCUGCUAACAUUCAAAAGUGUGUAGGUUUAGAGUGUAAAGACGUUCAAAAUGUAGGGGAUUGUCAAGAGAAUCCUCGAUGUGGGUGGUGUGAUGAUGGUAGCGGAACUGGAAGAGGAACCUGUAUGGAGGGAGGAUACGCAGGACCAGUCACAUGGAAUGGUGUCUCCUAUUCUGUAAACACAUCUAUCUGUUCUGAAGAAAGAUGGUUUUUUACUUCUGUUCCUGAAUGCCAGUGUAAUGGCCACAGUACUUGUAUUAAUGGAAGUGCUGUGUGUAAACAACCAUGUCAACACCUGACUGAAGGAAAACAGUGUGAGCGUUGUAUUGAUGGUUAUUAUGGAAAUCCAGUGAAUGGAAGAAAUUGUGCACAAUGCUUUUGUAAUGGCCAUGGGGUAAUGUGCCAUCACAAAACAGGACAUUGUUACUGUACCACAAAAGGAAUAAUUGGUCAUAACUGUAGCAGUUGUGAUGAAAUUAAACAUUAUCUUGGAAAUCCAGAAGAUGGGGGAACUUGUUUCUAUAAUCUUGAUAUUGGGUUCAAGUACACAUUUGACAUGACAAAGAGUGAAGAUAAGUUCUAUAAUCGAAUAAACUUACUGAAUGUUCCUAAAGAAACUGAUAUUGAUGUUGAAUUUUCAAUCACCUGCUCGGGUGCAGCACUUGUUAACGUUUCUGUUGCCUCAGCUUUACUGCCUGAGCAGCCUUUGCUAGUAUUUCAUGAAUGUAAUAAAACCAAGCUUCACUUUGCUCAUAAACAGCAUUAUUUUGGUGCAAAGAAUACAACAUUUUUUGUGUAUGUUUUCAACUUCAAGACUCCAAUCAUCAUAGAAAUCUCCUUCUCCCAGCACAAAUCUCUUGACCUUCUCCAGUUCUUCAUCACGUUUUCUAGCUGUUUCCUUACACUUCUUGUCAUUGCUGCUGUACUCUGGAAGGUAAAACAAAAGUAUGACUUGUACAGAAGAAGACAGCAAUUGUUUGUUGAGAUGGAACAGAUGGCUAGCAGACCAUUUGCUGGAGUUCUUCUAUCAGUAGAUAACCUUGACUUGUCUGAAAUUAGCGAAAAUACUGAUUCUUCAUAUCCUGCCCCUGUGGCUUUAGAACCAUGUUUGGGGGGUAAAGCAGCAGUACUUAGCCUGAUUGUCAAAUUGCCAACUAAUAACGAGAAUUACACUCCCCAAGGCCAGUGUGGUAUAGCCAUAGCUAGUGCUCUAGUAUCAUUAGGAAACCUGAAAAAAACAACUACGGCAGUGACAACUACUCCGGUGAUUAAGGAAGAAGGGAAAGUAGAACUUUGGAAGCCUCACAAUCACAGUGGAACUUAUAUAUGAUUACGAGUGAAUUUGGAUGUUUCAAGAUGCUUCAGUAAAGUCUACUACAGCUUUCAAAUUAAUGCCAGUGAUGUGACAGAACUGUUAUUAAUGAUAUUUUAGUGUCUCAAAAAAAAAAAGCCUGUGUCAUAAUUUUAAGCAUGUUUAUAUUUCUAAUAAUGUUGAAUGGUAGUGCAACAUUAUGUUUUGUCAUGAUAUAGUAGUAAAUAUUUAAAUUGAAGAAUCAUAAAAAUCUUUUAAGUUUUCCUACAGUGAAAUAUUUUAGGAACUGGGUAAAUUAUCAACAUUAGGUUGUACUUGCAUUGUAACCAGAUGUGUGACCUACAUAUUAAAGGUCAGUCAUUUGAUCAGUUUAUAACAUUUUGCUUAGAGUUGAGACAUUCAUGCUAUAAUUCAUUUUAGAUAUUUUAUCAAAAUGGUAAAUUUUGAUAGAAAUUGAAUUAACUGAACAGGAAAUAGUUAUGCCAGCUAGAUAUUACAUGAGUUUCCAACUUGAUUCAACAUGAACAAAUUAGAAUUUAGCUGUGUGUUGUUCAAUUUGAUCUUAUGUUCUAAUAACUGUAGACAAAUUUUAAUAACUUUCACUGGCUGAUUGUUUGGAAAAAUUUAAACAAUUUGAACUUGAUUAACAAUUUAUAUCAAAAAUUUGACUUUUUGUUUUAUAAUGUGAUUUUGAUUGGAGUACCAAACUUCAUGUUUACAGAACCACCACUUUGUGUAUUAACAUAUUUGUUAUUUAAACACAUCUGUUAGAAAAUACUGAUAGACUUUGGUAGAUGCUUUUCUAUGUCAUAUUCAUGAUAGUAAUUUCUAAUUAAUUUGGCAGUUCAAAAUUUCUUUGAAUGGCAUGUGAUUUUAAUUUUAUCAACAUAUGUUAUUAGGAAAUAUAAAAUUGUCAAAUGAAAACUUUUUUUUUCAAACUGUUUCACUGUUAAAUAAAAGUUCUGUGCAUUUACGAAAACUUGAUUUUAUAGAAAACUUAAAAAUACUUCUGGUGAAAGGAACAUUUUGUGUUAAAGAGAAUUGGAUGUUAAUUUUUUCUUUAAACUGUGAUUAUGGAUUUAUGCAGUUUCUUUGAAACUAGUCUCCUGUAAAAUCACAUCUCAUAAUUUAUAAUGAGGCAAUUGAGAUAAUGUAAGGAUUGAUGACAUGACAAUCUUUUUCUGUGUAUGAUCUUAUUCAUACAAAAUUGUAUUGGGAGGAAAAGAGAUCAAUUUAUUUAUAUGUCUACCUACAUUUUUCAUUGUAAGUAAAAUCUUUAGAUGUAUUUUGAACUUUUUACAGUAACUCACAACCAGAAAACUUUAAGUAAAUCUUAAAUAGAACAGUGACAUUAGAAACGAAGGUGCAUUUUUACUUCUUUAAAAACCUUGUUUUGGAACAAUAAACUAAGGCUGCAUUCAUAAAAAUUAAUGAUAAUCCUUACAGUGUUGGUUUUGGUCUGUGUGAAUUUUCUGUAGUAUUAACUCUACAGGAAAAGCCAUUUCUUUAAAACUUAGUUAGGUCUUAGGAAGUAUUGUUGGUUUGUAAAACCAAUGAUGUACUGCUACUGAGAUGGGUGCAGAAGUGGAUCAGCUGACUGUGGCAUACACUUUGUUGUAUAGAAGCCAAUGAAAUUAUCUGAUCAGGACCAGUCAACACGUAACUCUAAGACUUCAGGCGGAUAGUGCUUUAGUCUGUGCUCGUUCUCUAACUUUAUCUUAAUACAGCAAAAGAGAUUCCUGAGAUAUUAAGUCACUUCUUUUUCACAUGAAAUUAUCCAUUGUUUUGUCAACCUUAUAUGCUUUGUGGCACAACAAAUAUUUGUAUCCACAUUUUAGUUGUCUUCUAGACUUUAUCUCCAUGGCAUCUAAUGGUUACUCUCAACAUUUUAUCAGGUUGUACUCAAGUUAUACACCAGGUAGUUGUAGUCCUAAAGAAAGAAUUGAAAAUCACAUGUUGCACACUUUAACUUCUUUUUUAAGGUAAAUGGUUAUAAAAACAUCAACUUGAACAAAGCAGCCCUAGUCAUCAUGAAAGCAAAAUAACAGAAAUCAUAGUAUAGUAACAUCACAGAAAAUGUAUGUUUAAAUUAUGCCAAGUUUAUCUCUACUAUAGUUUGUAUUUUUGCACUUCUCUGUGAAUACCAUGAAAAGGAGCUUCAUAGUUAUUCAAAACCUUAAACAUUGUUUAUAUGCUGGAUUUAAGUUAAUUAUAGCUACACUUGCAUUUAUAAUGAAAAGGAAUGAUCAAAUGGAACUACUUUAUAGGUUUCUGAUUCUGAUAAUUAAUUUUUUAAUUUGGGUAAGAAUUCUAUGAAAGUCAUUUAUAUUAUAAUUCUGGUUCUUGUGCAUUUAAAAUGAACAUUAAUUAUAAGCCUAGUAUUUGACCAUUGAAUGUAAUAGAUAACAAAAUGACUUUUUUUUGUACAGAUUGUAAUAUAUGAAUGAACCAACUGUCAAUAAAGGUAGUUAAAUUUUUA
rnacentral:misc_RNA from 1 species